rfam:Ictidomys tridecemlineatus contig089763, whole genome shotgun sequence.
GGGGCUGUGGCUCAGUGGCAGAGCGCCUGCCUCGCAUAUGUGAGGCCCUGAGUUCAAUCCUCAGCACCCUA